CUGUUUGACAACCUUGGCUUCCCACUUUUACGACGUCGGAGCAAUCACCGGCGAGGGGAGAGAGAGAGGGGGGAUCAAAAGCUACCAAUAGUCACCAAAAAAUUUCCAGCAAAUCCGCAAUUUCCCGGCGGCCACUGUUAUGGUUAAGGGGAUGGAGAGGAGGGAAGAGAGGGGAGAGAGAGAAUAAAGAGAGGGGAGGGGGAGA
rnacentral:lncRNA from 1 species